UAAUAAUGUUUUUCCUGAAUAUAGGCACGAUUGCCAGUUUAAUAGAAUCAAUAUCAAACAAAGUUAUAUUUUAUUAAGUACCAAAUGUGUAUGAUGUACUUCUGUGGAACUCAAAUGAACGUGUUUUAGUAUGUGAACAAUAUUUUCAGUUCUGAGACUCUUGUUUUUCUUUUUUUGUUCAAUAAUAGGCAUGUUCCAUAUUGUUUCUUUUUUGGAAACAAAUGAGGUGGAAGUGGUGCCCAGCGGUUGGGUAGAUGGUGACCAAUGUGUCUGGCCACACCUAAGAGGGGAGAGCCUCACAAAGGCUGUGAAACUUGCAAUGAAACCCAAGAAAGAGUGGAAAAUCUGUAAAGUAAAGCUUCUCUACACAACAGACAACUAUGAUGAUGCCAGGAAAAAGCUCCCUGAAGCAGAACUCUUCUCUGACAUUCAAUCUGAUACAGAGAGUGGGGUUAAAAAACCUAGACGAAUUAUGAAGAGCUUUAGACUUCAAAACUUUAAACUUUUGAGUGACGAUGAUGAUGAUAAUGAAGGGCAAAAUUUGAAAGGCCUGGAACCACCGCCUCGUAUUAAGCCACCAGCAUUUCAAACAUUUCGUCAGUCAACUCAAAGCCCCGCUACAGCAAGACAGCAGCCUCCUCUCUGCCAGACAUCUAGUCAGCCACCAGCAAGUGACCAAUCCGCUUUCUACCAUCCAGCUAUUCAGCCACCAGCAUGUGACCUAUCACCUCUUUACCAGCCAGCAAGUCAGCGACCAGCAAGUGACCAAUCCCCUUUCCACCAGCCAGCUAGUCAGCCACCAGCAAGUGACCAAUCCCCUUUCUACCAGCCAGCAAGUCAGCCACCAACAAGUGACCAAUCCCCGUUCUACAAGCCAGCUAGUCAGCAGCCAGCAUGGAGCCAACCACCUCUCCAACAGCUAGCUAGUCAGCCAUUGCCAAAUCACCAACCAUCUCUCUUCCAGCCAAAUAGCCAGUCAACUCUAGAUUACUUGCAGCCAGCAGGCUCAGAAUCUGGCAUAAGGAGAAACCAACCACUACAAAUUUUGCUAAGGGAGAUAUUGACAAAACAAGAAAUGAUUCUAGACCAGCAAAAUACAAUUAUGAGAAUCCUACAGUCAACACAUCGCCCAAGUUCAGAGAUCGUCUUCCUGUCAAAGAUGUAGAGUCUCUCCAGUGCCUGGAGGCUGAGCUGAAGAUGAACCCUGAUUCUAAAUCAGAAUUGACUACCUAUCUGGGUCUGGUUGGUGGCUUUGACCUGAAAGACACCGUGUGGAGAGUGCUGAAAGCCACUUUUACAACUGCUGUGGCACAUGGUAUGAAUUGGAGAGGAGUCAAUGGGAAGAUUGGUGUCCAACGCCUGGUCAUAACAGAAGUUGUCAUUGGUGCAGUCAGGCAGAAUCCCCUUUCUGCAAAAGCCUCAAAUAAAGAGAUCGAAACCAACAUAAUUAAAUGGUUGCACCUCGCUGGAGACCGAGAGGGGGGUAGGAGGGAGCGAAUGAAUAAAAGAGAGGCCCAACAAAACACUGCCGACCCUCAUUAGGCACAUCAUCAAAAGCAAAUUCAAGUUCUCUACAAGUUACUCUGAUUUUUUGUAUUUUCUUCUGUGAUUUUUAUUUUAUUUUAUAUUUUUAUGAGUUUAAUACAUUCUUAAAUGUAUUCUUAUGUUUAUACUCUUAAAGC